UGGGGGAAUAUUGGACAAUGGGCGCAAGCCUGAUCCAGCAAUGCCGCGUGUGUGAAGAAGGCCUUCGGGUUGUAAAGCACUUUUAUCAGGAGCGAAACGCUGUCGGCUAAUACCCGGCGGAACUGACGGUACCUGAGGAAUAAGCACCGGCUAACUUCGUGCCAGCAGCCGCGGUAAUACGAAGGGUGCAAGCGUUAACGGAAUUACUGGGCGUAAAGCGUGCGUAGGCGGUUUCUUAAGUCUGCUGUGAAAUCCCCGGGCUCAACCUGGGAAUGGCAGUGGAUACUGGGAGGCUAGAGUGUGUCAGAGGGUGGUGGAAUUCCCGGUGUAGCGGUGAAAUGCGUAGAGAUCGGGAGGAGCAUCAGUGGCGAAGGCGGCCACCUGGGACAACACUGACGCUGAGGCACGAAAGCGUGGGGAGCAAACAGGAUUAGAUACCCUGGUAGUCCACGCCCUAAACGAUGCGAACUGGAUGUUGGUCUCAACUCGGAGAUCAGUGUCGAAGCUAACGCGUUAAGUUCGCCGCCUGGGGAGUACGGUCGCAAGACUGAAACUUAAAUGAAUUGACGGGGUCAUAGCUGUUUCCU
rnacentral:rRNA from 1 species